CUGCUCGACGGUCAACGGCAGAGUAAUGACUUAACAAUAUCACAAGAUGUCGCAAUUUACAAGUUUAAGAGUCAAAGCUCGGCCUUGUACGUUAAGGGAGAAAGAAUCACCCAACUACCUCUGCAAGUGAAGGACCUGUAUUGAGUCUGCAGCAACAAAGACCCUCAUUCUGCCUGACACUGGAGACGUUGUCCUGGCUAGAGCUAUGUCUGUGUCCUGGGACAGAGCGAUGCCAGCCAGCAAGAGAUGAUCCAUGCGUCCUGGCAUAGUCUAGGUGCAGUUGCGAGCGCAGAUGAAACGCAGUUCUGACCAGACCAAAUCACACCAGAACCAUGGGUCAAGACCCUUUUGCUCAGUCAGUCCUGGAUGUGCAAAACAGAUAUAUUUAAUGGUGGACACAAUCAACAUACUGCUUCUAUUUCUUCUCUGCUGCAAAUAAACACAGCAAUGGCAGAGUGAAAGGCUUCUGUGUAUGUGACACCCAAAAAGACAAAGCUGACAAGACAAAUAAGCAAUGGAAGCAGAGGACACCGAGAUGGAAGGGAAUGUCUUUAUUGAUGAUGACAGCCAGCAGUGGAGAGUGUGGAGAUAGGUAGAAUGAAUCUGGGGAAGUUACCGGAGGGAAGCCACAGGAGACCGGAGAGACCAAGGAGGAAUGGAGAAGCCACAGAGGACUGGAGAACACACGGGGAACUGGAGAGACACAGGAACGGUAUGGUGCAUGGAGUCCUAUCCACAAAUGAGGUUGGACACUGAGAGUGGAGUGAUUUUAUCUUGGGUGUGAUUGGGGCUGAUUAAGGGCAGGAGUGUAAUUAGGAGCAGGUGUGGGUGAUUAUGGGCUGGUGAGGACAUGACAGGCUGUGACACCCAUAAAAUGAUCUUAUGUUUUGAGCCACAGAUAAGUUAUUGUUAUCAUUUGCCCUCCACCCAACCCCCAAACAUCUUCACAGUGAGUCUAGUCUGUAGAAAUGCAAAUGUAACAAAUGAUUUACCAACAGCUAUUUAUAUACAUUCUAAAAUUUGAAGAGCACAUCAUUGCUUUCUCCCUCGUAACAAGGCAUAUAUAAAGGAUGUGCAGAAGAUCACACUUUGAGACCUGUGAUUAUUAAUUUUCACUUCCAGAUGCUCCCUGACACAUUGGAGGAGGAAGCAUUGAUAGCAUAGCACUGAGCAUGGCUGACAUUAAUUUGGUGUGUAUGUGUGUGUGUGUGUGUGUGUAUGUAGGAAUGCAUGCAUGCACUGGUCUAAAUGUUCAUGUACCUGUUUUUUUAUGCCCGAUUGUGUAGCAGUCUUUGCAUCUGUAUUGGUGCAUGUCUUGUGCCUUUCAUUUCCCACUCUGGAUGCAGGACAUAUCAGACUGAUCCAGAUGGAGCCUGGACUCUUUAUUCUCUAAAGGAGAUUCCAGCUCUGGUUACCACACUGCCCAUGCAACACUGGUCACCUGAAACCCAGCACCUACAGCCACCUACAACCAGUCGCUUCAUUUGUCACUUUCACCACGCGGCUGUGCACGUAGAUUCAUGGUACACUCUACUACAUAUCUUCUGCCUGAAGGUAUGAAGCACAGUUUGCCUUCCCAAGCCACGUGAUGACGUCUUAAUAACUGCUGCAAACAGAUGAUGUUCAUUAUUUCACAGUGGGACCACAAGCAUACAUUUUACGAUCAGAAUCAGAAUAGAAAUCAUCUUUACACAUCAUGAAAAAGGCCCUUUCCUUAGUACAAUUAGACAGUGCAAAGGGGAAAAUGCAGUUCACGUACAGUUGAAUUAGACUAUAGCAUGUAACAUUCAGAAAUCAAACUGUGCAUUAAACAUGCAGGCAGCCUAUCACGUUGCAUUAAGCAAUCCCCACCCACACUUUGUUUCCACCAGCUACAAUGAGGAAGGUUGUGUUUCCUGUCAUGGCUACCACUGGCUAACCUUUUUCCAUUUUUGCCUGAUGAGGCUGUGCUGGCUGGGCCUUUCAGUGAAGCCAUCUCCUCACUUUCACUGCGCAGUGCUGAGACACUCUGGCUCUCUGCCCUGUCAGCCUCCUCCUCCUCCCGCCACCUUGCUUUGUCUCUGACCACACCACCUGCCCCGAACCCACAACCCUCCACCCCCACCCCCAUCAAGGAGCCACAACAGGGCUCCAUCCAGCGAAGAUGUAAACUAAGCUAGCACAACACCAACACACCCUCCUCCAUUAUUCAUCUGCCCCCUUUAAUGAGUUUUCCAUCCACCUUCAUGCAUCUCUCACAAUUAAAAGAAACAGUUGUUGUGUUUGAUCACUUUUAUUUCAUUUCAUCAAACUAUUACAUUGUACGAAUGCAUUUAUCCUGCAUUAAAUGCUUCCCUAUGUGUAAAGUAGCAAAACGAGUAAAGGUCAGGAGGAACUAAGUAAUGGACCAGAAAAUGGAACAUGAGGGUACAUUUUUCAGCAGAUGUGCCCUAAAAACAACAGCAGCAACACGCAGAACACAAAGUGCUGCAUUGAAACUGAUUUGUCUUUGACGUUCUCAUUAAUCUCUUGAAACAAAUUAUAUUUUGGCGACAGUUUGUUUACUUUACAAAAACCAAACUGUUCCUCAAAGUGUGCCUGCAGAGCAUUCCCAGUAGUCUGAUCAAAUCUUGCAGAAAUUAAUUUGACAAUUAAUCCUCCUCUGUGACCCUCUUUUCCUUUUACACUAAAGAGCUGUCUAGGCUUUCACUGUUGUGCCAGGCCAAAAGAUCUUGUGUCAAUAACACAGAUAAUAUGUUUGUUUACAUACCAUGAUCAUGAAAAGGAGGCCAGCUAAAUAUUUAAUGGCUUCUUCGAGUUACCCAGGAACAGUCACCCUGUGACCCAACACUAGAGUUGGACCUCGGCACAUCCAGUCAUUGUUAAACACCUCUACAGAGCACUGGCUCACAUUUGUGGGCACAUGACUCUGGUUGGCAAAUAAUAUAAAGCACUCUAAGGCUUUGUGCUCUCUCUGCUCUCUGAAUUGGACACAAUAAUGACUCUCAGCAACUAGUGGUCCUCAAUGUGCUGUAUCAACUCAUUCAGUUAUAGAUGUUCUGCUACAGUAUGUGAGGUGACUAUAAAAAGAAACUAAGAGCCCAGAGGACAAAAGAGUGACUCGAUUUUCACAAAAGUCUCUUAAAAAUGUAGAAUAAGACCUCACUUUGACACACUUGCAUACACUUCACACACUUUCUGUGUUGCGUCCCAGUGGACAGAGUUUAACCAAGCAUGCAUCAGCACUCGUCUGUGCUCUCCAUACUGCAAGCAUUCAGCAAUACUCACUGCUAAUACUAAUGCUACACUACUCGAGUCAACCCACACACACAUCAGUCCUCCUCCUCCAAUCUCAGCGUAGCUACUCUGUGAGCUGAGACAAUGUGAAACGUAUAGUCCAAACAAAAGCCGAGAGAAAGACAAAGAGUGAGUAGGACGGGAGCGAGCAAGAGAGCUGGAGAUGAGACAAAUGUCUGCAGCAACACUAAAGGGCAAUUAAGCGCUUAGUCAUGACAGAACAUCUCAUCCUUUUAUUGCCUAUAUUGUGUCACUCCAAAUAUAACACUUAAAACAAAAAUAUCUAAUCACUGACUAAUAUGUUUUGUUAUUUUGUCAUUUCUCAUUGAUCGUUGCCCUUCACAAACACUGUCUCCUUUGAAAAAAUGUACCUCAAGAUGAGCUACAGUUUUUUAAGUUACUGCUUACUUCCAAGGUAACUCAAACAACAAAUUAUGUAUGUACUGAAAACUGUUUUGUAUUAUGUUAUUUUAAUAUGCUCUGAUAAACCCAAGGUGAUGGACACAAGCUGUGGCUAGUAUGUGCAAAAAUGUCGUCAUUACAUAUGUUUUGAAUGGAGGCUAAUGGAAACUACAUGUGUAGAAGAAGUCUGAAGAAAUGUUGCACUGCGCCAUAGAUAAGUGUGGUGUAUUUAGGAUGAGUGUUUCAUCUGUGCAGAGUUAAGACACAAAAAGAUAUAAUAGAAAUGAUUCAAUCACAGAAAAAUCCCACAAACCCACGGAGAUGUAUUCAAAUCUUAGAGGCUUCAGAAAAUGCUUGAUUGCCUUUGAAAUUAUAAUACAUAUCAUGACUCUGAUGAGGAUGAUUGCUCAUAAUUGAAUCACUGGAGCACCAAUCUAAUCAAGAACUAACAAUUAUUUAAAUUAAAUGUGCAAC